rnacentral:lncRNA from 1 species
GUUGUUCCCCGGAGCUGAUCUCAAUGUCCUCCAGAAUCAGGAGACCGACAGCGUCAGUGGCUUCAGCCUUAUCUGUCCCAGCCUGCCACUCUGUCAGAGGAAAUCAAGUUUGCCUGGCACAACCUGCUCCUUAUGAUGUCAUUGGGCUGUGAUCGGCACGUUCUGCCUUCCGAGGUAUUUGUCUUUUGGUGGCUUGAUGAAUACCUGCCAAUGCAGAGAUAAAGAGAACACAGGUUUUGUUUUUUUUUUUUCCCCUCAGAAGCAUUAGUUGGCCCUCUUCUUUCUUGUAAACUUGGGAACAGAGGUAGAGGAGCUUUGUGACCGUAAGAACCUGGUUCCAGUCUCCAUUUGCCCCUUCGACAGCUGUGUGACCUUGGGGAGGAUGCUGCAGCUCUCUGAGCCAAGGCUUAUAAAAGGAGCAAUACAACAAUAGAUGGGAAUGUUCCCAGAAGUCCUGUUUAAUUAGCUCGUUCAUCACUGUGACCAAAAGACCUGAGAAGAACAAGGUAGAGGAGGAGAAGUUUUUUAGAUUCAAGGUUUCGGAGGUUCAGUUCAUGCUUGUCAAUCCUAGCUCUGGGCCCAGGGUGAGGCAGAACAUCAUGGCGGCAGGGCAUGGCGGAGGGGCAGCCCAGGACAGGGAGGCCGGGAAACAGAGAGCCCCACUCACCAGGAAAAACAUAAACCCCAAAGGCACACCCCUGGUGUCUACUAACUCCCACCACACCCGCCGGCCUCCAACCACCACCAGUUAAUCCACAUCAGUGGAUUAAUCCACUGAUGGGGUUACACUUCUACAACGUGAUCCUUUCACCUCUGAAGACCCUGUGCUGUCUCACACAUGAGCUCUUGGGGACACCUCACUCUAGCCCAUAACAAGCCAUCGGUCCUUACCUGGAGGGAGGUGGAGGCAGGGAGGCCUGGGGAGGACCCUGGCUCAGACGCCACACCUGCUUAGGUCCUCACUCCCUUCUCCUAAACCAUGGCCCUAAGCAAGUGACCUGACUUCCGCCAGCCUAGUGGCUCCUCUGUGACACAUAGUAGGACCGGGUGUGAGUGCUAACGUCUAUAGUAGGAUGACGGGGGUUGGCAAUGUCUGUCUCGGCCCCUCUCAGACUUUCAGCGGGUGUGACCCGCGGGGCCUCUGGCAGUGCCAGCGAGGUGGGGACAGCGUGACGGGGUGAUUUACUAUCGUCCUUUUACUGUUUUGAGAUGCAACCUCAGCAUAGUGUUCUUGGCACCACCAUCUUCCUGGCAAACGCCUGCGUCUCAUCCAGACCCAGAGGCUGUUCUCUCUCUGGGAAGAGCACAGGGCCGCGUGGCCUCCAGCCCAGAGUGGCCCUGGUGGAGUGGAGGUGGCAGAGUCCCCAGCACCCGUCCCACCGCGCCUCCCCUCCCUGUCCCUCUACAUCAUCCCUGCACCUCCAGCGUGACCUUGAAUCACCUUGUCCUUGAAGAUGCUGGUUCUCCGCCUGGAAUACCCUGGCUGCCACUCUGCACCUUAGAUAAUCUGGGUGUGGCUCCAGGUCCCUGUAAAGGCCAAGAUAGAUGUCCCUACUCUGUGUCCCAGUGCAGCCUGGAGUCACCCCGUAAGCAUGAUGUUCAGGGUAUUUAAGUCCUCUGCCUCUCUGCCAGCUCGUUAUGGUACCAACCAGGCACCAGGCAGUAGGAACGGAGCCCAGGAGUCCCCAGCGAUGCCUACAGAGGGAACAAUGGAGAUCAUUCGUCCCCUGGUGUCCUCUGCCCAGCCAGCCCUCGGGUGGCAAUACCUGCACACAGACGUAGGUUCCUCCAUCCCAGCCUCUCCCCACAACCAUCUGCUUCUGGCGAUGUCACGUGGCGCCCCUCCUUUGUGCCUGUGCUCUGGUCUUGAAGCUGACAGGCUGUCUCCCCUGCACCUGCUAGGUUCCCACUUCAGUGCCACAUGGACCCAGGACAAAAGCCUCCCAGGGGUUUGAGUAGUUGGCAGGGCUUGGGGCUAGUAUUUGAGUUUGCUCUGGUGACCAUGGGCAUCCACGUGGGCCUACAGCGUCAGCUUUAGAGAAAGGCUGGGGGCCAGGAUCUGAGACAGAACGGCCUGAGUUCCAAGCCUUGGUCCUGCUUCCUACCAGCCACGUGCUGUGGGUAGCGGGUCAAGUCUCUUUGUGCCCCAUCUCCUUGUCUGGAGGUAGGGAAUAGAGUGUGCGUGCCUCACUGGACUUUUGUUGGGGAGGAAGGAGAUCAGAGCUGCGGUUACUCUUGUAACCAAUGGUAGCCUCCGCCAAGGGCCUCUACUCCGACUGUACCAGGGCCUGAACAUCUGGGAUAUUGUAUUUGUUCAUUGCUAUAAUAAAACGUGUGAGGGUAGGUACUUAUAAAGAAAAGAGGUGUAUUUAGCUCACAAUUUUGGAGGUUCAAGGGCCAGCAGUGGCAUCAGCACAGCUGUGGUGAGUCUUCAUCGUGGACGGCACCACAAGGGCAGGAGGGUGAGUGGCAGUGAGGGAGGGCACCACAGGACAGGAAGCCAGCAAGGCAGGGGUCUUUUGUAACAACUUGCUCUUGCAAGACCUCACUCAGGGCCUCAGGAGAACUGCAUCAUCCCUUCGAAGGGCAUGCCCCCGCCCGGCCCCUCGCCACCUGCCGAAGCUACCACACCGAGGACCAAGCUCCCAGCACAUGACCCCUUGGGGACAAACUCAAACCGUAGCACAUUUCCCAUCUCCAUUCUGCCAAGCAGGGCUCUGGGACUGGACAUCGGAAUCGCUCUGCGAUUUCAGGCGAGUCUCUAUGAGCCGGUGGUGCCUUCCAGGAGAGAUGGAGGCCCCUCGCACCAGACAGGAGGGAGCCCCACCUUUCCCUCCCCAGAGCAUCUCAUCGGCAGUCUGCUUGGCCCACCUCAGGGAAUAGCCCAGGGGUCAGCAAAUGACCGUCCUUGGGCUGCAUCCAGCCCCGCCCCCUGAGUCUCAAAGUUUUUCUGGACCUUGGUUCAUCUGCAUGUCGUCUGGGCUGCUUUAGCGGGACAGCCGCGGUAGUCGCACAGAGACCAUGGGGCUCGGCAGGCCGGCCAGUUCUCUGUGAUCUUAGAGGGCAAUUUGAGAUGAAAGGGUUAAAGGUGCAUGUGACGGGUAGCCCAGGGGCCCGAGCACCACGCCCGCCUCGUGCCACCCAUCCUGACAAUUGGUUGCUGGGGCCAGAUUGCAUUCCAUCCCCCAUCCCAACCCUAGCACUCACGCGCGUCCUCAAGUGCCUCCACUGUCCACGGGGAACUGGACCAAGAACUGCCGGCAGCGGGUAGAGCCCUGGUGUACCCCAGAGGGCAGCUAGAGGCCUUGGCGAGGGGCAAAGCCACUGGCCCCAUUGAUUACACCCAGUGAAAGCCACUGUCCUAUUCAACGUGUCCACUGACCACACUGUCUCCGAUCGCUCCCUGGCCAGGCCGCUCCAUGCUUGAGCUGGAGGGGUCUACAGGCCGCGUCCUCCUCUUCCUCAGGUGCCUCCACAGCCUCCCACGGCCUCAGGAUACAGCCGACGCUGGAAUACGGACACACAAGGCCUGUCCUGGUCUGGUCUCUGCUGGUCUCCCAGCCUCCUGUCCCCUACCUGCUCAGCCACGUGACCCCCAGCACUGCCACACUACUAGGGCUCCUAGACAACCCUCUAGCUUGUGGCUCCUUUGGAGUCAACACACAAUCAUCCUUCAUGGGCCACUCUGCUCCCCCGGUCCCUCUGACAAACCUCCAGGUAUCUUCAGGUCCUCUAGGUGACAUCUCCUCUAUGUGACACCCGAGCUGUCCAGGUAGCCUGGCCCCUCCAAUGUGCUUCAAUUUAGUCGUCACCAACCUUGGCUCCCAGCCCAUAAACACCCACUGGCUGAGUGAGUGAGGAGGACCCCUUUGGGAAGGUGACCAGAUGAGGAAGCGCAGGGCUGUCCUCCUCCUCGGGUUCCAGCACAGGGGACAACCCCCUCGGAGCCAGACUACUGGGUGUUAGGGUCUGUAAACAAGUCGGAUGGCGCCUGGCAUUUUGCCAGAGGGAGUGGUUUGUGAAGUAACGCCAGGGAGCCAUUAAGUGGGGAGAUUCCUUAUUGGUUGACUGCUGUAUCUAGUUUAUGCUAAUUAGAUAAGCUGUGUGGAAUGUAUAUAUACCCCUCCUGUCCUACAAUAAACGGCUCCCACUCCUGCUGUAUCAAUCUACACAAGUUCCUCGUCACCCCCUGGUUAUUUUGCUGCAGCAGGACCGCGGCAGUUGGUGGCCCGUCCAGGGAGCCCCAGGACACUCGGGGGUAAGUGACGAAAAAAAAAAGCUGCCCGUCCCUAGAUAGGACGGGAGCAAAUCUGCUCGUCCCUAAGCAGACAGGGCGAGAGAGAGAAUGACCAUUUUAAGAAAAUGGAGAAGAUUGAUACAGUAUGUUUGUGUCUUGUUUUGUCUUGAAAUGUUGUAUUGUCUUUGUGACGAAAAUAUGGAAAUAAGUAAAUUACUAAGGGAAGAAGGCACCCCAGUGGAACCAAGAAUAGUUGGGGCAUGUGUUGAUGGAAGCCCAGGAACUCUAGUCAGAAAGAAGAAAGUUCAGAGGAGGAAGGAUUAUCAGGAAAAAAGUUGCAGCAAAAGGCUAUUACUGAAUACUGGAGGGUGCAUGAAUCGGCGCGGCUGCUGCCACAUGCACGAGCCGGUCAUGGCGCAGCAAGGACUUUCCAAGGGAGCGGGACACCACUGCGAGAGCCCAAAUCCAAACCUGACCCGGAGGCACAGUCUCGCAGGCUCUUGCUCCCUGUGCCCAGUGGCAGUUUGAGUCCUGAACACUCCCCGGACUCUCCCUGGGGCCAUCUGGGGCUGCCCAGGACACUACAGGUGUCCUGGGCGUCCCUGAAGUUUGAUCAUUUCCAAGGCCAGUAACUACAAUGGUUCUCCCACACCUGGAAGCUAAUGAGUAAUGAGCACUAUUAAGGCUUAUUUCAAAUGUAAAAAACCUUGAGAUAAUGUACUAAAUUGUUCAGAAGGUUGUUUUCUUAGUGCCUGCUGGAAUACUACAGGAUUUUCUUUAACAUCAUUGCCGGAGUUCCUGCCUUCGUCCCAGUGCCGGUGAGGACGAGGGUGGAAGAAUUUCCAGUGUUGCUGAGAACCAGACGAGACUUCGAGACUUCGGAUCAAGCUAGCUGCCUGCAGAACUUACCUGGACUGUCAUUUAGGCUAGCUGCCUGCAUAACUUACCUGGACUGUGAUUUACCUGGACUGUGAGUUAAUCUAUUGAGACACUGCUUUACCUGGACUGAGACAACAAACUGUAAUCUACAACAAAUUGUAACUCGGUAUCUUUGCUAACGGUGUCAUUGCUGGUAUAAUUUUUCCAAGGGCUUCUUGCAUGGAGCCAUCAAUUGGCUUGGUAUCAUGGCAUUUUGUAUCCUCCCCUUCUGCUUGUAGAAGAUUGUGGUGUUUGUGUAAAAACCACUAUGGUCAUUAUUUAAAUUAAACAAAAGGGGGAAAUGUUAGGGUCUGUAAACAAGUCGGGAUGGCGCCUGGCAUUUUGCCAGAGGGAGUGGUUUGUGGGGUGGUGCCAGCGAGCCAUUAAGUGUGGAGAUUCCUUAUUGGUUGACUGCUGUAUCUAGUUUAUGUUAAUUAAGAUAAGCUGUGUGAAAUGUAUCUAUACCCCUCCUGUCCUACAAUAAACGGCUCCCACUCCUGCUGUAUCAAUGUACUCAAGUUGCUCGUCACCCCCCGGUUAUUUUGCUGCAGCCGGGCUGCAGCCGGACUGCGACACUGGGUGAGGUUGGCUCUCCUGUUAAUUGGCAAUGACCUGGAGCCAGUGACUUGAUCUCUCUGUGCCCCCAUUUCCUCAUCUGUAAAACAAGGGACAUAAUAGUGUCAUCUUCACAGCUUGUCAUGAACAUUAAAUGAGCCCAUACGAACCUCCAAAAUCUGAAAUGCUCCAAGAUCCGAACCUUCUUGAGCAGUCGUUAGCCCCUAAGUGGAGAAUCCCACACCAUGAAGCCUUAUUUCAUGCUCAAGAUGGCUAAGCAUAUAAAAUCACCCACAGACUAUGUGUGUGUACACUGUAAAUGAAAUAUAGACUAAUUUCAUGUUUUGAUUUGGGUUCCAUUGCCAA